UGCAUUCGUAGCUCAGUUGGACAGAGUACUCGACUACGGAUCGGGUGGUGGGGGGUUCGAGUCCUCUCGAGUGCAUC
rnacentral:tRNA from 1 species